AUUGAACGCUGGCGGCAUGCUUUACACAUGCAAGUCGAACGGUAACAGGUUAAGCUGACGAGUGGCGAACGGGUGAGUAAUGCAUCGGAACGUGCCCAGUCGUGGGGGAUAACGCAGCGAAAGCUGUGCUAAUACCGCAUACGAUCUAUGGAUGAAAGCGGGGGACCGUAAGGCCUCGCGCGAUUGGAGCGGCCGAUGUCAGAUUAGCUAGUUGGUGGGGUAAAGGCCCACCAAGGCGACGAUCUGUAGCUGGUCUGAGAGGACGACCAGCCACACUGGAACUGAGACACGGUCCAGACUCCUACGGGAGGCAGCAGUGGGGAAUUUUGGACAAUGGGCGCAAGCCUGAUCCAGCAAUGCCGCGUGCAGGAAGAAGGCCUUCGGGUUGUAAACUGCUUUUGUACGGAACGAAACGGUCUGGGCUAAUACCCCGGGCUAAUGACGGUACCGUAAGAAUAAGCACCGGCUAACUACGUG
rnacentral:rRNA from 1 species